GACAGAGGGUGCAAACGUUGUUCGGAAUUACUGGGCGUAAAGCGUGUGUAGGCGGCUACAUAAGUCGGAUGUGAAAGCCCCGGGCUCAACCCGGGAAGUGCACUCGAUACUGCGUAGCUUGAGUCUCGGAGAGGUUGGUGGAAUUCUCGGUGUAGAGGUGAAAUUCGUAGAUAUCGAGAGGAACACCGGUGGCGAAGGCGGCCAACUGGACGAAGACUGACGCUGAGACACGAAAGCAUGGGGAGCAAACAGG
rnacentral:rRNA from 1 species